AACGAACGCUGGCGGCGCGCCUAAUACAUGCAAGUCGAGCGAGAAGACGUAGCAAUACGUUUGUAAAGCGGCGAACGGGUGAGGAAUACAUGGGUAACCUACCCUCGAGUGGGGAAUAACUAGCCGAAAGGUUAGCUAAUACCGCGUACGCUCCUUGGACUUCGGUUCAGGGAGGAAAGCGAUACCGUGGGUAUCGCGCUCUUGGAUGGGCUCAUGUCCUAUCAGCUUGUUGGUGAGGAACGGCUCACCAAGGCUUCGACGGGUAGCUGGUCUGAGAGGACAAUCAGCCACACUGGCACUGCGACACGGGCCAGACUCCUACGGGAGGCAGCAGUAAGGAAUAUUGCGCAAUGGGCGAAAGCCUGACGCAGCGACGCCGCGUGGGGGAUGAAGGUCUUCGGAUUGUAAACCCCUUUCGGGAGGGAAGAUGGAACGAGCAAUCGUUCGGACGGUACCUCCAGAAGCAGCCACGGCUAACUUCGUGCCAGCCGCCGCCGUAAC
rnacentral:rRNA from 1 species